rnacentral:rRNA from 1 species
AUGGAGACGGAGGGCGGCUGCAGUGGGUCGCCGUCGAGCGGGUCGUCCGCCAAGUCCUCAGGCUCAAGUGGGUCGUCUUCGAGCGGGUCGGCGGCGCCGGCGAGGACGAGGAAGCCGGGGACGUGGAGGAGGCUCCCGCGCGUCCCGCGCGCUCCGACCCAUGCCAUGAAGGAAAGGGGGGAGAUGGGGAUAUGGACCAUAACGCCUGAGGAGUUGCAGCGGCAGGCCCUGGAGCGUGUCAAGGAGCUGGAGAAGAUGGACGACAGCGGGUGCGACACGGAGGAGGCCAAGAUCGCCUUCCAGGAAUUCAAGAAGCGUCAUGUCCGCUUGUACCGCAGCAUCGCCGAGAGCUGGCCGGAGCAUGUAGUCAUCAACCGCAACCCGCAGACCAGCGACGGCCCCUCACUGGACGCUUGCCCAUGCUGCUUUGUUUACUCACUAGAUUGA